rnacentral:rRNA from 1 species
AGAAUCAACGCUGGCGGCGUGCCUAACACAUGCAAGUCGCACGAGAAAGGGUAGCAAUACCUGAGUAAAGUGGCGCACGGGUGAGUAACACGUGACUAAUCUACCCUCGAGUGGGGAAUAACUGAGAGAAAUCUUAGCUAAUACCGCAUAACACUUACGAGUCAAAGCAGCAAUGCGCUUGGGGAGGAGGUCGCGGCCGAUUAGCUAGUUGGCGGGGUAAUGGCCCACCAAGGCGAUGAUCGGUAUCCGGCCUGAGAGGGCGCACGGGACACACUGGAACUGAAACACGGUCCAGACUCCUACGGGAGGCAGCAGUGGGGAAUUUUGCGCAAUGGGGGAAACCCUGACGCAGCAACGCCGCGUGGAGGAUGAAAUAUCUUGGUAUGUAAACUCCUUUCGAUGGGGAAGAUUAUGACGGUACCCAUAGAAGAAGCCCGGCUAACUUCGCGCCAGCAGCCGC